rnacentral:pre_miRNA from 1 species
UGUGUGAUUGCUGGGUUGUAUGGUAAGUCAACAUUUAGUUGUUUAAGAAAUUACUAAACUGAUUUCCAUAGUGACUGUACCAUUUCACAUUCCCACCAGUAAU